rnacentral:rRNA from 1 species
CAUGUCUUUUUGAUUUUAAUUUAAGGUUUAAUCUGCUCAAUGAUUAUUUAAAUUGCCGCAGUAUUUUAACUGUGCAAAGGUAGCAUAAUAAUUAGUUUCUUGAUUAGGGGCUGGAAUGAAUGAUUUGACGAAAAAAUUACUGUCUCUUGUUAAUUGGUAGUUGAAUUUUAUUUUUAAGUUAAAAAGCUUAAAUAUUAAUAAAAGACGAGAAGACCCUUUAGAGUUUAAUAUUGAUUUAUAUUAAUUUUUAGUAAUUUAAUAAUAAUAAGAUAUUUAGUUGGGGUGACUUAAAGAUUAAAUUAAUUCUUUAAUUUAUUUAUUGUUGAUAAAUAAAUUUAUAAUCUAUAUUUUUAAAUAUAAUAUAAAUUACCUUAGGGAUAACAGCGUUAUUUUUCUUUAGAGUUCUUAUUAAAAGAAAAGAUUGCGACCUCGAUGUUGGAUUAAAAUUUAUUUUUGGAGUAGUUGCUUUAAAAUUAGGUCUGUUCGACCUUUAAAAUUUUACAUGAUCUGAGUUUAAAUCGGUGUAAGCCAGAUUGGAUUCUAUCUUUAAUAAAAUAUAUUAUUUUAGUACGAAAGGACCAAAUAUUUAUUAAAUAUUAAUUGUUAUUUUGGCAGAUUAGUGUGUUUGGUUUAGAAUCAUUUUAAGUAAUUAUUUUACAAAUAAUAUUUGAUUUUAUAUGAUUUAAUUAAGUUAACUUUAUCUUUGGUAUUACUUGUAAUCUUAAUUUUGAUUGGAGUAGCUUUUUUUACUUUAUUAG